rnacentral:rRNA from 1 species
GACGAACGCUGGCGGCGUGCCUAAUACAUGCAAGUCGAACGAACCGCGACUAAGUGCUUGCACUAAGUCAAGGUGAGUGGCGAACGGGUGAGUAACACGUGGGUAACCUACCUCAUAGUGGGGGAUAACAGUCGGAAACGACUGCUAAUACCGCAUAGGACAUAGGAUCACAUGAUCCAGUGAGGAAAGGUGGCGCAAGCUAUCGCUAAGAGAUGGACCCGCGGUGCAUUAGCUAGUUGGUAGGGUAAAGGCCUACCAAGGCGAUGAUGCAUAGCCGACCUGAGAGGGGGAUCGGCCACAUUGGGACUGAGACACGGCCCAAACUCCUACGGGAGGCAGCAGUAGGGAAUCUUCCGCAAGGGACGCAAGUCUGACGGAGCAACGCCGCGUGAGUGAAGAAGGUCUUCGGAUCGUAAAGCUCUGUUGUUAGAGAAGAACAGCGCAUAGAGUAACUGCUAUGCGUGUGACGGUAGCUAACCAGAAAGCCACGGCUAACUACGUG